GUGGGGAAUCUUAGACAAUGGGGGAAACCCUGAUCUAGCCAUGCCGCGUGAGCGAUGAAGGCCUUAGGGUUGUAAAGCUCUUUCAGCUGGGAAGAUAAUGACGGUACCAGCAGAAGAAGCCCCGGCUAACUCCGUGCCAGCAGCCGCGGUAAUACGGAGGGGGCUAGCGUUGUUCGGAAUUACUGGGCGUAAAGCGCGCGUAGGCGGACCAGAAAGUUGGAGGUGAAAUCCCAGGGCUCAACCUUGGAACUGCCUUCAAAACUCCUGGUCUGGAGUUCGAGAGAGGUGAGUGGAAUUCCGAGUGUAGAGGUGAAAUUCGUAGAUAUUCGGAGGAACACCAGUGGCGAAGGCGGCUCACUGGCCCAAUACUGACGCUGAGGCGCGAAAGCGUGGGGAGCAAACAGGAUUAGAAACCCGAGUAGUCC
rnacentral:rRNA from 1 species